rnacentral:rRNA from 1 species
UUAAAAUUAAUUCAUCAGGUGAUGAUGUGAUGAUAAUCAUUGAAAAAUGACAAAAAUCCCCUGAUUAAG